GCACGGGUGAGUAACACGUGACUAACCUACCCUGGAGUGGGGGAUAACUGAGGGAAACCUUAGCUAAUACCGAUAACACCUACGGGUCAAAGGAGCAAUUCGCUUUAGGAGGGGGUCGCGGAGAUUAGCUAGUUGGCGGGGUAAUGGCCCACCAAGGCAGUGAUCUGUAUCCGGCCUGAGAGGGCGCACGGACACACUGGAACUGAAACACGGUCCAGACUCCUACGGGAGGCAGCAGUGGGGAAUUUUGCGCAAUGGGGGAAACCCUGACGCAGCAACGCCGCGUGGAGGAUGAAAUCCCUUGGGAUGUAAACUCCUUUCGAUCGGGACGAUAAUGACGGUACCGGAAGAAGAAGCCCCGGCUAACUUCGUGCCAGCAGCCGCGGUAAUACGAGGGGGGCAAGCGUUGUUCGGAAUUAUUGGGCGUAAAGGGAGCGUAGGCGGUUUUGUAAGUCGUGUGUGAAAUCUUCGGGCUCAACCCGAAGUCUGCACACGAAACUGCAGGGCUUGAGUAUGGGAGAGGUGAGUGGAAUUCCUGGUGUAGCGGUGAAAUGCGUAGAUAUCAGGAGGAACACCUGUG
rnacentral:rRNA from 1 species